rnacentral:tRNA from 1 species
AUUUUGUUAGUAUAUAAAGUACAUUUAAUUUCCAAUUAAAGAGAUUUUUUAAAAACAAAAUA